AUUGAACGCUAGCGGGAUGCCUUACACAUGCAAGUCGAACGGCAGCGCGGACUUCGGUCUGGCGGCGAGUGGCGAACGGGUGAGUAAUGUAUCGGAACGUGCCUAGUAGCGGGGGAUAACUACUCGAAAGAGUGGCUAAUACCGCAUACGCCCUACGGGAGAAAGCGGGGGGACCGAAAGGCCUCGCGCGAUUGGAGCGGCCGAUGUCGGAUUAGCUAGUUGGUAGGGUAAAGGCCUACCAAGGCGACGAUCCGUAGCGGGUCUGAGAGGAUGAUCCGCCACACUGGGACUGAGACACGGCCCAGACUCCUACGGGAGGCAGCAGUGGGGAAUAUUGGGCAAUGGAGGAAACUCUGACCCAGCGACGCCGCGUGCGGGAUGAAGGCCUUCGGGUUGUAAACCGCUUUCAGCAGGGAAGAAGCGAAAGUGACGGUACCUGCAGAAGAAGCACCGGCUAACUAUGUG
rnacentral:rRNA from 1 species